rnacentral:rRNA from 1 species
CCUACGGGAGGCAGCAGUGAGGAAUAUUGGUCAAUGGACGAGAGUCUGAACCAGCCAAGUAGCGUGAAGGAUGACUGCCCUAUGGGUUGUAAACUUCUUUUAUAUGGGAAUAAAAUGUUCCACGUGUGGGAUUUUGUAUGUACCAUAUGAAUAAGGAUCGGCUAACUCCGUGCCAGCAGCCGCGGUAAUACGGAGGAUCCGAGCGUUAUCCGGAUUUAUUGGGUUUAAAGGGAGCGUAGGUGGAUUGUUAAGUCAGUUGUGAAAGUUUGCGGCUCAACCGUAAAAUUGCAGUUGAAACUGGCAGUCUUGAGGACAGUAGAGGUGGGCGGAAGUCGUGGUGUAGCGGUGAAAUGCUUAGAUAUCACGAAGAACUCCGAUUGCGAAGGCAGUUCACUGGACUGCAACUGACACUGAGGCUCGAAAGUGUGGGUAUCAAACAGGAUUAGAUACCCCGGUAGUC